AUCUAGCUGACGUGUCCCAAACAGGACGAAACGCGCGUUCUGGAU
rnacentral:hammerhead_ribozyme from 1 species